rnacentral:tRNA from 2 species
GGACCCGUGGCGCAACGGCAGCGCGUUCGACUCCAGAUCGAAAGGUUAUCCGUUCAAAUCGGGUCGGGUUCA